rnacentral:rRNA from 1 species
UUGGAGGGCAAGUCUGGUGCCAGCAGCCGCGGUAAUUCCAGCUCCAAUAGCGUAUAUUAAAGUUGUUGCAGUUAAAAAGCUCGUAGUUGAAUUUUGGGUUCGGCCGGGCGGUCCAUCCUCCGGAUGAGUACUGUUCCGACGCCGGACCUCACCUUCUGGUGAGACGGCAUGUCCUUUAUUGGGUGUGUCGGGGAACCAGGACCAUUACCUUGAAAAAAUUAGAGUGUUCAAAGCAGGCUUUUGCUCGAAUACAUUAGCAUGGAAUAAUGAAAUAGGACGCGUGGUGCUAUUUUGUUGGUUUCUAGAACCGCCGUAAUGAUUAAUAGGGAUAGUUGGGGGCAUUAGUAUUCAAUUGUCAGAGGUAAAAUUCUUGGAUUUAUUGAAGACUAACUACUGCGAAAGCAUUUGCCAAGGAUGUUUUCAUUAAUCAAGAACGAAAGUUAGGGGAUCGAAGACGAUCAGAUACCGUCGUAGUCUUAACCAUAAACUAUGCCGACUAGGGAUCGGACGAAGUUAAUUUUAUAAUGACGCGUUCGGCGCCUUACGGGAAAC